rnacentral:rRNA from 1 species
GAUGAACGCUGGCGGCGUGCCUAAUACAUGCAAGUCGAACGAAACUUCUUUAUCACCGAGUGCUUGCACUCACCGAUAAAGAGUUGAGUGGCGAACGGGUGAGUAACACGUGGGCAACCUGCCCAAAAGAGGGGGAUAACACUUGGAAACAGGUGCUAAUACCGCAUAACCAUAGUUACCGCAUGGUAACUAUGUAAAAGGUGGCUAUACUACCGCUUUUGGAUGGGCCCGCGGCGCAUUAGCUAGUUGGUAGGGUAAAGGCUUACCAAGGCGAUGAUGCGUAGCCGAAUUGAGAGGUUGAUCGGCCACAUUGGGACUGAGACACGGCCCAAACUCCUACGGGAGGCAGCAGUAGGGAAUCUUCCACAAUGGGCGAAAGCCUGAUGGAGCAACGCCGCGUGGGUGAAGAAGGUCUUCGGAUCGUAAAACCCUGUUGUUAGAGAAGAAAGUGCGUGAGAGUAACUGUUCACGUUUCGACGGUAUCUAACCAGAAAGCCACGGCUAACUACGUG